UGGGGAAUAUUGCACAAUGGGCGAAAGCCUGAUGCAGCAACGCCGCGUGAGUGAUGAAGGCCUUCGGGUUGUAAAGCUCUGUCUUCUGGGACGAUAAUGACGGUACCAGAGGAGGAAGCCACGGCUAACUACGUGCCAGCAGCCGCGGUAAUACGGAGGUGGCAAGCGUUGUCCGGAUUUACUGGGCGUAAAGGAUGCGUAGGCGGAUACUUAAGUCAGAUGUGAAAAGCCCGGGCUUAACUGUGAAACUGCCUUUGAUACUGCAAGACUAGAGUAUGGAAGAGAGGGAUGGAAUAUCUGGUGUAGCAGUGAAAUGCGUAGAUAUCAGAUAGAACACCAAUGGCGAAGGCAGUCACUUGGUCCAUUACUGACGCUAAAGCACGAAAGCGUGGGUAGCAAACA
rnacentral:rRNA from 1 species